rnacentral:misc_RNA from 1 species
GAUGAAGAACGCAGCGAAAUGCGAUACGUAAUGUGAAUUGCAGAAUUCAGUGAAUCAUCGAGUCUUUGAACGCACAUUGCGCCCCUUGGUAUUCCGAGGGGCAUGCCUGUUCGAGCGUCAUUUCACCACUCAAGCCUCGCUUGGUAUUGGGCGCCGCGGUGUUCCGCGCGCCUCAAAGUCUCCGGCUGAGCUGUCCGUCUCUAAGCGUUGUGAUUUCAUUAAUCGCUUCGGAGCGCGGGCGGUCGCGGCCGUUAAAUCUUUCACAAGGUUGACCUCGGAUCAGGUAGGGAUACCCGCUGAACUUAAGCAUAUCAAUAAGCGGAGGA